UUUUCAACUACCUUUGAAUCUUCGAUAAGUGAUCACAGAGGAAGCGAAUCAAGUUUGAGGUGUUUCUUGAACGACGAAGAUCAUGGCCGCCUGUUUAUAAAAACACUCAUUUAGCAUUAUGGCCAUCGUCUUCGUCGUUCACAAACACGUCAAACUUCAGACUUCGCGAUGCGGACAAGUAGGUGAGGAUAAACAAGCAAGGACGCAAGCUAGCAAGAAGUCAUUUAAAUGUCCAUUUUCAUGGAUUCUUAUCCUUCACAAUUUUACAAGGGGUGGAACUAGAAAUUCACCUUGGAAUAAUCAAGUUGUUUUGUUUUAUUACAAAACGUAAUGUAAAUUGUAUUUGAACUCUCAUACCUUUGUUUUAUUACAAAACGUAAUGUAAAUUGUAUUUGAACUCUCAUACCUUGGAAAGAAAAAAUUGCACUGUUGAUUGUUGUGGUUUA